rfam:Picea glauca, whole genome shotgun sequence.
AUGUACAUUCCUACAUCAUAGUUUUAAUGCACUGUAUCCCAUUAGAAAUUCGUAGUUAAGCACUCUCAGGCUAGAGCAGUCCUGGGAUGGGUGACUGCCCGGGAAAUCCUAGUGUUUUACAUG